rnacentral:rRNA from 1 species
CGCAAGCCUGACGGAGCAAGACCGCGUGGGGGAUGACGGCCUAAUGGUUGUAAACCCCUUUUCUCUGGGAAGAAGACUGACGGUACCAGAGGAAUCAGCCUCGGCUAACUCCGUGCCAGCAGCCGCGGUAAUACGGAGGAGGCAAGCGUUAUCCGGAAUUAUUGGGCGUAAAGCGUUCGAAGGCGGAUCAGUUAGUCCGACGUUAAAUACCUGCGGCUCAACCGAGGUUUCGUGUCGGAACUGCUGAACUAGAGGAAGGCAGAGGCAGGUAGAAUUCCCAUUGUAGGGGUAAAAUCCGUAGAUAAUGGGAGGAAUACCAAAAGCGAAGGCAGCCUGCUGGGCCUUACCUGACGCUGGCGAACGAAAGCGUGGGGAGCG